UUUUUUUUUUUGUUUUUUUUUUUUAGUUUAAACUUGAUUUUGUGAGGGGACGAACAGCGUGACAAUUAAAAGAAGAUCUGGGAAUCAAAAGCUUCCUGAGGCCUUCACCAGAAGCAGAUGCUGGUGCCGUGCUUCUACAGCCUGCAGAACUGAAGGACUUUACAGCUUCUCUUUCGCAUAUCCAAAUUGCCAGCAUCACCGCUCUUGCACUCCAAGCCAUUAUUAAGUAAAGUAAAGAACACAAACACUGUGAUACUGCUACACUUGAUCUGAUAACCAAGAAGUCUACUAAGUGACUAACAGAGCAACUGGGAACCUAAUUCUGACCAAAAAGGAGGAAUUGUUUGGCUAAUUGGAAGUGACAGAAACCUUGGGAGAAAGCAACCGCAUACCAAGGAUAAUUAUAAGAAGAAGAGAAGACAUGGAGAAGAGGAGGGAGUAGUUGUGACCGUGGAGGCAGAGAAUGGAGUAAUGUGAUCAUAAAUCAAGGAAUGCUGACAGCCACUAAAGCUGGAGAAGGCCAAGGACAGAUAUUCAAUCCUCCCGUAGAAGUACAGCCCUGCUAAUGCAUUGAUUUUGGACUUCUGGCCUCAGAACUGUAAGAGAAUAAAUUUCUAUUGUUUUAA
rnacentral:lncRNA from 1 species